rnacentral:rRNA from 1 species
GAUCCUGGCUCAGGACGAACGCUGGCGGCGUGCUUAACACAUGCAAGUCGUACGAGACGAUUGAAAGCUUGCUUUUGAGAGUCGAGUGGCAAACGGGUGAGUAACGCGUAGACAACCUGCCGUAAAGAUGGGGACAACAGUUCGAAAGGACUGCUAAUACCGAAUGUUGUAGAGUUCCCGCAUGGGGAUUCUACUAAAGGUGGCCUCUACUUGUAAGCUAUCGCUUUACGAUGGGUCUGCGU